rnacentral:rRNA from 1 species
GGAUUAGAUACCCUGGUAGUCCACGCCGUAAACGAUGAUAACUCGUUGUUGGCGAUACACAGUCAGCGACCAAGCGAAAGCGUUAAGUUAUCCACCUGGGGAGUACGAUCGCAAGGUUGAAACUCAAAGGAAUUGACGGGGGCCCGCACAAGCGGAGGAAUAUGUGGUUUAAUUCGAUGAUACGCGAGGAACCUUACCUGGGCUUAAAUGUAGUGUGCAUAGAGAGGAAACUCUCUUUUCCUUCGGGACCCAUUACAAGGUGCUGCAUGGUUGUCGUCAGCUCGUGUCG